rnacentral:rRNA from 1 species
CAAUAGCGUAUAUUUAAGUUGUUGCAGUUAAAAAGCUCGUAGUUGGAUUUCGGAUGGGACCUGCCGGUCCGUCGUUUCGAUGUGCACUGGCCAGUCCUAUCUUGUUGUCGGGGACUAGCUCCUGGGCUUCACUGUCCGGGACUAGGAGCUGACGAGGUUACUUUGAGUAAAUUAGAGUGUUCAAAGCAAGCCUACGCUCUGAAUACAUUAGCAUGGAAUAACACGAUAGGACUCUGGCUUAUCUUGUUGGUCUGUGAGACCAGAGUAAUGAUUAAGAGGGACAGUCGGGGGCAUUCGUAUUUCAUUGUCAGAGGUGAAAUUCUUGGAUUUAUGAAAGACGAACUUCUGCGAAAGCAUUUGUCAAGGAUGUUUUCAUUAA